AAGGUCAAAACAUACAAGAGAAAGUGUGUAUGUGAGUUGUAAUUCUCAUUUUCUAAGUAGUGUAGUACUUAGCUUUUUGAGAGAAUCUCUGCCUUUUUCUUUUGUGUCAUUCUCUUUGCAUACUUAGUCGUUGGACGCGAAGGUCCGGACUAGCAACAUGGACGAAGGUUUGUCCAUCUUCGAGCAGGAAGGCGGGCGCCGCACGGGCUUUGCGAACAGAAACGCUAAGGCCGUGCCAAUAGGCUCCGCAACUAGUUUGGACCCCGGAAGUUGCCAAUUUGGCUUUGGAACUCAACAUCCAAUAACCUAAAAAACUCAACAUUUAAUCAUAGAAUCGGCUCAAAAUCUGACUUGACAUAAUCCAGUAGAAAAUACUUUUUGUUUAAAAAAUUAACUCUCGAUAAUCUUUGUUACGCUAUGUAAAAAUAUAUUUUUUUUAUGAGCAGAGAUACUACACUAUCGAAAGUAUAGAUGAUCUGGUGCUUCCGACUUUGGCCUUUAAAUCAGCUUCUUUAAUUAUUUCUAACCUUUGGAUUAAUAUUAUUGCCCUGUAGGGACCACUCAACCCUAAGAGUACUACUCAACUCUACGGGGAACUGCAAUCAUCACAAUUGUAUUCUUUAAUUAUUUCUAACCUUUGGAUUAAUACUAUUACCCUGUAGGGACCACUCAACCCUAAGGGUACUACUCAACCCUACGGGGAACUGCAAUAUCCCAAUCGUAUAAUUCUUGAUCCAAAAGCUAAAAAAUCGGAAGCAUAAAAUUCUCUAUACUUCCGAUAGUAUAGUAGCUCUACACUUUUUUUAUUGACUUUUGAUACUUUGUAAAAUUGCUGAACGCAUGAACUUAGACUACGUUUCUUACACCGAAUUUAAUUUAAAAUCAGAAAUACAAAGUCAUUAAUAACUUUUCUUUCUCCAAAAACACCAAGUACUUUUUCUUAUUUCUUCUAGAAAAUAACUUAACAUACAUAAUUUGUUCUUGAUAA
rnacentral:lncRNA from 1 species